ACGCAUGAUUACGACGUGAAGAUGAAGAACGUGAACAAGUUCAUCGGCAACGGCGACAAGGUCAAGGUCACGCUGCGCUUCCGCGGGCGCGAAAUGGCGCACCAGCAUCUCGGCAUGGACCUGCUCAAACGCGUGCAGGAAGAUGUCGAGGAGAUCGCCAAGGUCGAAGCCUUCCCCCGGCUCGAGGGACGGCAGAUGCUGAUGGUGCUCGCGCCCAAGUAGGUGUCCUUGGCUGGCUCGGGCCGUGCCGGGAUGACCGCGCGCCCGGCGUGCCGA
rnacentral:misc_RNA from 1 species